rnacentral:rRNA from 1 species
UACAGAGGGUGCGAGCGUUGUCCGGAAUCACUGGGCGUAAAGGGCGCGUAGGCGGCUUGAUAAGCGUGCGGUGAAAGCCCGGGGCUCAACCCCGGGUCGGCCGUGCGAACUGUCGAGCUGGAGCACUGUAGAGGCAGGUGGAAUUCCGGGUGUAGCGGUGGAAUGCGCAGAUAUCAGGAAGAACACCGAUGGCGAAGGCAGUUCUCUGGGCCGUAACUGACGCUGAGGAGCGAAAGCGUGGGGAGCGAACAGG